CAUACGGCUCAGUAACACGUAGUCAACAUGCCCAGGGGACGUGGAUAACCUCGGGAAACUGAGGAUAAACCGCGAUAGGUCAUCACUUCUGGAAUGGGUAAUGACUUAAAUCUAUAUGGCCCCUGGAUUGGACUGCGGCCGAUCAGGCUGUUGGUGAGGUAAUGGCCCACCAAACCUGUAACCGGUACGGGCUCUGAGAGGAGGAGCCCGGAGAUGGGCACUGAGACAAGGGCCCAGGCCCUAUGGGGCGCAGCAGGCGCGAAACCUCUGCAAUAGGCGAAAGCUUGACAGGGUUACUCUGAGUGAUUUCCGUUAAGGAGAUCUUUUGGCACCUCUAAAAAUGGUGCAGAAUAAGGGGUGGGCAAGUCUGGUGUCAGCCGCCGCGGUAAUACCAGCACCCCGAGUGGUCGGGACGUUUAUUGGGCCUAAAGCAUCCGUAGCCGGUUCUACAAGUCUUCCGUUAAAUCCACCUGCUUAACAGAUGGGCUGCGGAAGAUACUAUAGAGCUAGGAGGCGGGAGAGGCAAGCGGUACUCGAUGGGUAGGGGUAAAAUCCGUUGAUCCAUUGAAGACCACCAGUGGCGAAGGCGGCUUGCCAGAACGCGCUCGACGGUGAGGGAUGAAAGCUGGGGGAGCAAACCGGAUUAGAUACCCGGGUAGUCCCAGCUGUAAACGAUGCAGA
rnacentral:rRNA from 1 species